rnacentral:lncRNA from 1 species
CUGUUCUGUUCUGAUACUGUCCAUUGUUAAUGAACAAGGGUCGAGUUUCAGAAACCAUCCUUAUUUUACUUGGAGAUCUUCAGUAGCUCUGAAGUUCUUUUACGCCAUACUCUGCCGCCUUUACCUCAAAUAGAAGAUAAUCUGGAAACUAAACCUACAUGUACUGCCCUUUGCUAAUUAACAAGGGUUAAGUUUGAGUAACAAUCGUUCUUUUUAUUGGAUACCUUCAGUUGCUCUGAAAUUAUUUUACUACUCUGCUGCAUUUACCUCCGAGCAGAAGUUAAUAUGGAAAUUGAUACUUUUUUUUCCAAGUUCUGCUGAUAAUGUGGCAGCUUCUCGACUCGAGUUCCCUUCUAGUACACAAUAAUAAAACCUUGUUUCUUCUGCCUAGAAUACUAAUGAUUUGUCCUUACUCUAUAGAACACUUAAUUUUCUCCUUAACUACUGCAGCCAAAUUAUAGCAUGUACUGUUCUGUUCUGAUACU